UAAAUUGAAUGGAAAAUGUCUGACUCUGAUGUACAAAACCAAAAUGACCAGGGAAAAACAAAACAUGCAUUUAACACUGACUGUGUAAAACUAAAUUCCCUUCUGGUUACUGACCGCAUGUACUGCAGGGUCCUCCACAUGGACUUCCAAGUCAUCUGAUACAUGAUUAUUGUGGGUCAAUCACACAGACAGUGUGUAGAAUUGAAGUGUACGAGGGUCCCGUUGAAACACGACUGAGUCGAUAGUACCUAUGCAGGCUGCUCCUGUUUUCUUCCAGCACACUGUCAGCAGGAUGCUGCUUGUGUAGCUCCAGGCAGCAGCUCUGGGUUUGCAGGACACGUGAAGGUUGAAGUGGGCUGUGACAGACUAUAAAACAUGCAUCCUGGCAGCAGCAUUUUUUUUUACUUUUAUUAAUGACAUGUACUUCCAGCAUGGUGAAAAUUCACAAUGAGCAAAAAACAGGGAAAAAAACAUAAGGGGGUGGAGUGUAAAUGAAAUCAUAAUAGAAAUAGCAAUUAUAAUAGAAUACAAAGAAAUGUUUGAUUUAUAUAAAGAAUAACAGAUGACCAUUUUUUAAAAUAAAUGUCUUUUACAGACUUUAUUGAUCUUAAACCUAUUAGCUGUGAUCAUUUUGGGGAAAAGCAAAGUUCUACAUCUUAAAAGUUUGACUAAUUUUUUGCACACAAACAUCAUUUCUUUGACCACUUAAUAUUAUUCAAUGAUCCUCAAAUGGUGCAUUUAACUUAUUUAAUUUCUUUAUUUACAUUAACCUAUAAAUCUUUUGGACAUUCUCAGAAAAUGUGUGAGGAUGCUAUCUACAGUUUCGCCACCAGAUGGCACUCGUGUUAUUGUUAAAUUUGGCUGCACUGACAGGUGUCCUAAAGAAAUCAAAUUCUUCUAAAUAAACUCUCCAGUUUGACUUGUUGAGACAUCUGUGCCACUCCUCACAUGAAUUCUAUAUCCUCAGUGAUUGUAUUCAACUCUAAUUCCUUUUUUUUUAUGUCCAAUGUAUUUUUAUUAAAACUGAACAUUCCUUGACUUCUACACACUCAGUAUUUAGGACAAUUAGUUCCAGCAUGGUGAGAAUUCACAAUGAGCAAGAAACAGCAAAAGACAGUGGAGAAAAAAAUGGGGAUGUCAAUGAAAUAAUAGCAAUUAUAAUAAUACACAAUAUCUCAAUCCAAAAAAACAUUCUUUUUUCUAAGUAAAGAAUAACAGAUCACCAUUACAGACUUUAUUGAUCUUAAACCUAUUAGCUGUGAUCAUUUUGGGGAAAAGUAGAGUUCUGCAUCUUAAAAGUUUGACUAAUUUUUUGCACACAAACAUCAUUUGUUUGACCACUUAAUAUUAUUCAAUGAUCCUCAAAUGGUGCAUUUAACUUAUUUAAUUUCUUUAUUUACAUUAACCCAUAAAUCUUUUGGACAUUCUCAGAAAAUGUGUGAGGAUGCUAUCUACAGUUUCGCCACCAGAUGGCACUCGUGUUAUUGUUAAAUUUGGCUGCACUGACAGGUGUCCUAAAGAAAUCAAAUUCUUCUAAAUAAACUCUCCAGUUUGACUUGUUGAGACAUCUGUGCCACUCCUCACAUGAAUUCUAUAUCCUCAGUGAUUGUAUUCAACUCUAAUUCCUUUUUUUUUAUGUCCAAUGUAUUUUUAUUAAAACUGAACAUUCCUUGACUUCUACACACUCAGUAUUUAGGACAAUUAGUUCCAGCAUGGUGAGAAUUCACAAUGAGCAAGAAACAGCAAAAGACAGUGGGGAAAAAAAUGGGGAUGUCAAUGAAAUAAUAGCAAUUAUAAUAAUACACAAUAUCUCAAUCCAAAAAAACAUUCUUUUUUCUAAGUAAAGAAUAACAGAUCACCAUUACAGACUUUAUUGAUCUUAAACCUAUUAGCUGUGAUCAUUUUGGGGAAAAGUAGAGUUCUGCAUCUUAAAAGUUUGACUAAUUUUUUGCACACAAACAUCAUUUGUUUGACCACUUAAUAUUAUUCAAUGAUCCUCAAAUGGUGCAUUUAACUUAUUUAAUUUCUUUAUUUACAUUAACCCAUAAAUCUUUUGGACAUUCUCAGAAAAUGUGUGAGGAUGCUAUCUACAGUUUCGCCACCAGAUGGCACUCGUGUUAUUGUUAAAUUUGGCUGCACUGACAGGUGUCCUAAAGAAAUCAAAUUCUUCUAAAUAAACUCUCCAGUUUGACUUGUUGAGACAUCUGUGCCACUCCUCACAUGAAUUCUAUAUCCUCAAUGAUUGUAUUCAGCUCUAAUUCCUUUUUUUUUAUGUCCAAUGUAUUUUUAUUAAAACUGAACAUUCCUUGACUUCUACACACUCAGUAUUUAGGACAAUUAGUUCCAGCAUGGUGAGAAUUCACAAUGAGCAAGAAACAGCAAAAGACAGUGGGGAAAAAAUGGGGAUGUCAAUGAAAUAAUAGCAAUUAUAAUAAUACACAAUAUCUCAAUCCAAAAAAACAUUCUUUUUUCUAAGUAAAGAAUAACAGAUCACCAUUAC